rnacentral:tRNA from 1 species
GGGGCUGGGGCUCAGUGGUAGAGAAUCUGCUUGGCGUGCUGAAUUUUCCAGGUUCAAUCCCCGGCAUCUCCA